GCAGUGGUGUGAUCAUAGCUCACUGCAGCCUUUAACUCCUGGGCUCCAGUGAGCUUCCUGCUUCAACCUCCUGAGUAGCUGGGACUACAGGUCACUCAGCCAAAGGAGCUCAGAAGUAGAGUAUAUUAACAAAUACAGACAGCUCGAAGCACAAGAGCUUGAUGUGUGUCGCAGUGUCCAACCAACCAGUGGGCCAGGUCCAAGGCCAUCUUUGGCUAAAUUAAGCAGUGUGACAUGCAUCCCAGGGACAACUUAUAAAUAUCCUGAUUUGCCUAUAAGUCGAUACAAGGAAGAGGUUGUGUCUUUGAUAGAAAGUAAUUCCGUGGUGAUUAUCCAUGGGGCCACGGGAAGCGGUAAAAGCACUCAGCUCCCGCAGUAUAUCUUGGACCACUACGUUCAGCGCUCCGCCUACUGCAGCAUUGUGGUCACCCAGCCCCGGAAGAUAGGGGCAAGCAGCAUCGCCAGGUGGAUCAGUAAAGAGCGUGCCUGGACCCUGGGAGGUGUGGUGGGCUACCAGGUAGGGCUAGAGAAAAUAGCAACAGAGGACACCAGGCUAAUUUAUAUGACAACUGGAGUCCUGCUUCAGAAAAUAGUUAGUGCCAAGAGUUUGAUGGAAUUCACACAUAUCAUCAUUGAU
rnacentral:lncRNA from 10 species